UGGGGAAUUUUGGACAAUGGGCGAAAGCCUGAUCCAGCAAUGCCGCGUGUGUGAAGAAAGCCUUCGGGUUGUAAAGCACUUUUGUCCGGAAAGAAAACGCCGUGGUUAAUACCCGUGGCGGAUGACGGUACCAGAAGAAUAAGCACCGGCUAACUACGUGCCAGCAGCCGCGGUAAUACGUAGGGUGCAAGCGUUAAUCGGAAUUACUGGGCGUAAAGCGUGCGCAGGCGGUCCGCUAAGACAGAUGUGAAAUCCCCGGGCUUAACCUGGGAACUGCAUUUGUGACUGGCGGGCUAGAGUAUGGCAGAGGGGGGUAGAAUUCCACGUGUAGCAGUGAAAUGCGUAGAGAUGUGGAGGAAUACCGAUGGCGAAGGCAGCCCCCUGGGCCAAUACUGACGCUCAUGCACGAAAGCGUGGGGAGCAAACAGG
rnacentral:rRNA from 1 species